rnacentral:lncRNA from 1 species
ACAAACAGCCUAGAAACAUUUAUGCUCGUGCAUACACGCACAUCACCUACAAUAUACAUUUUAAUACAUGAAUUUAAUAAGACAAAUAAAAUAAGGAAUAAACUGAUAUAAGAUUUAACCUUUACCCUUGUAAACUGUUGGCCUGCAAAAUUGUAUUAUAACAAUUGGCAGCAUGUUUUGUUCAUUUCUGGCUUGCAUUCGGAAUGAGUCGACAUAUUCCUCCCAAAGAGUACAAUACAUUUUAUUGUGACUGUAUAUGUAAAAAACAAUUCAGAUUCCAAAUAAAGGACUAAACAGAAAAUAAAGAAUUUUAAACUUGCCUGGAAUCCUCAAGCACAAGCUCUAUGAGCUUCGCAUUGUUCUGAUCUUUAAUAAACCCCUUUUUCCACCAACACUCCAAUAAUAUCUACAGUUUCAUAUAUCUCAAUAUUAAAAAAGAUUUAAUAAGCAUAUAUAUAUAUAACACAUCAAAUAAGAUGUAAAUAACUAUUUACCAAACAACACUUCCUCAUUAGCAUCUUCAAUAGCAUUGAUCUCUUUGAAAUCCUUGAAAAUGAAUUUGUGAAUAGGAAAUUCAGGAUCAAUGCAUGCUGACAUCUGACUUUUUGGGAACAACUUCCCGAAUUAUUGUUUCUGACGAAGAAAUGUCUAAUCUGAACAACAUCUUCUUUCAUGAUAUUUCUAAAUGCAGCACACUGACCACGUGGUAUAGUCAAGUGAAUCCUUGUGCCCUAUAAUAAUUCAUGCACAAUUUAGGACACACAUAAAAGCUGAAGCAUAUAACAUAUGCAGUAAAUAUAACUUUAACCAAUAUAUCAUUUUUUUCACAUACCUGUAUAAAAUCUACUCCCUCCGUCCCAAACAAAAUGUCCUAUUUCUUUUGGGCACGGAGAUUAAGAAAUGUGUAUAAAGUAGAUAAAGUGGGUUAGUGGAAAUUAUUUAAAUAUUAAGUAUAGAGAGAGAGUGUAUUGCCAAAAAAGGAAACAGGACAUUUCGUUUGGGACAGCCCAAAAAGGAAAAUAGGACAUUUCGUUUGAGACGGAGGGAGUAUAUAACUAUGUAACUAAAACACUAUAACUGUAAUAUCAUAAAGAGGGUACAGUAUUGCAGUUUAGAAGAUUUUAAAUUUUACUGCCAAUUCGGACUUUUCUUAAUCUAAACACACAUUUGCCUGAAAAAUAUUGUAUAUGUUACACAUAAUGUAUUUAAUAUCUGAAAUGCAUCUUUUUAACUUGUGUAAAUAUUUUGAAGCUAAACAGUAAGUGUUAGGUAACAUUAGCACAAAAUGUUUGACAUAAAGUAUCACUUCUUGAU